CCGGGUGCGCGCGGCCGCGCCGGGAUCCGGCCGCACCAAAUAUAGUCGGGCCUGGCUAUUUUUAGCCGGGCCUAGGGCGCCAGCUCGCCGCGUGAGGGGGCGCCCAGACCCCGCGGGGAGUGCGGAGGGGGUGGGGGUGGAGUCGCCAUCUUGGACUCGGCUCGACCCAGUCUGGUGACCGGCGACGCUGGGCCGGGCUCGGCGCAGGGGGUCGGGAAGCGCAAAGAAGUUAAAUACUUGACCAAGUUCACAGCAAGAUCUGAACCCAGGUAGUCUUACUUCAGAGUCUACGUUCUUAUCCGUGCCCAUUGCCAGCCUCGUGCUCAUUCAUUUAUGCUGGGACAGCAUUCUGUGCAAAAUCAAUGGCCCAAACUUCUCACCCGGGUUUGGACACUAGAAUUAGCUUGAGAGAAUUAUGAAAGAAGAAAUAUCUGGAACCUACCCCAGCCUCCUGGAUCACUCUCCUAUACACCCUACUGUUAUGGCUUCAGCUGCAAUUUAAA